UACGGAGGGUGCAAGCGUUAUCCGGAUUCACUGGGUUUAAAGGGAGCGUAGGUGGGCUGGUAAGUCAGUGGUGAAAUCUCCGAGCUUAACUCAGAAACUGCCGUGGAUACUAUUUGCCUUGAAUAUUGUGGAGGUGAGCGGAAUAUGUCAUGUAGCGGUGAAAUGCUUAGAUAUGACAUAGAACACCAAUUGCGAAGGCAGCUCACUACACAAUCAUUGACGCUGAGGCACGAAAGCGUGGGGAUCAAACAGG
rnacentral:rRNA from 1 species